ACUAAGUAAUAUUUAAAACAAUUUGAGAAAAAGUGCAUGAAUAAGUAUUUUAUAAGUUCUAUUAAAAAAUAAAUUGAUAUAACUAGAAAUAAAACAAUUUAAAAAUCUAUUUUACUAAAAUCACGUCUUAGACAUGAAUUAAGCUGAAUUUCUAUGUGCUAUUCGAAUGGUACGUAGUUUCCUUUUUCUAAAUUAAUUAAAUUCAACAAUAAGAAUCAUUAUGAAGAUUUAUGUUUGUAAAUGUUUAAAUACAUACAUCUUAUUAUACAACGUGAUGCAAUAAUUUAAAUUCAUCUUGAUUUUUAUAAUUAUAUACAUUUCUUUUAUAUAUGUAUAUAGAUACAUAUAUAAUUUUUAAACGUUACUAAUCACGUGAUUUAUUUUGUAAGUAAAAUGACUAUAUAAAAGUAAUUAUUAUUAUGUUAUUUGUUAUUAUCUUAUUAUGUUAAGUUAUUAUUAUUAUUUAUAAUAUAAUAUUCAGAAUUUUAUUAUUAAAAUCAUGUUUUAUUUAAUCGUAAUUUAGAAAUCGUAAACAUUCUUUAUUUUUACUUCUUGCCGAUUUUAUAUUAUUAAUUAGAUAUAUUUCAAUCGUAAAAUUUUAAAAAACGUAAAUAAAGAGAAUAAAUAAUAUAGAAUAUAAUAAUAUAAAUAAGAGAUAAUGUAGAGAUAGGAUAAGAAUUGAACUUCAGUAUUUCAUUUUUUGAAUAUUUUUAAGAAGAGAUUUUUAACAUUCAAGAGAUAACGCUGAUUUCUCAGUUUUUCCCUAUGAUUCGCCUACUUGUCUUUUAACACGUAAUUACAAUGAAGAUAUCAAUUGAAUUUCAUUAUUUCUCUUUCAAAAUUACAUUGUGCCUUAAUCUUUAUUUUAUCUGUAUCAUAUAACCAUAAAUGAAAUAUAGAAAUACAUUAAAAAUAUUUUUUGAUAAAAAUUGCAAAUCGAUUUUAAAAAAUAAAAGGGCAUAGAAUAGUAAAUAAAAAGUGUUAUUAUAUUAUUUUUUUUGCAAAUCGUUGUUAUUAAAUAUCCAAUAAUAUUGUUUGGUACAAUGACUGACAAAAGUUGAUGGAUUGCAUGAAAUAUACAUGCAUAUGAAAUGAUAUUCUUUGAGCGGCAAUCAUUCCCACAUAAUGUACAAUUCAUUGUAGAAGUCUGGAAUAAAAAGGCAGCGAAAUGGCAUAUUCAUUAUUUACUUUUUUCGUUUUAAAUACAUUAUGAUUCCAUCUAAAAAAUCUUUUAACAACAAAAUUUGAUUGAAAAGAAAAAUCAUUCUAUUAUUAUUUUGAACUAUCUGUAUGUAUGUUUUCUUAUACAAAAUGUUGUAUAUAUACAUAUAGAUAUAUAUAUAUAUAUACAUAUAUACACAUAUAUAUAUAUACAUAUGUAUAUACAUAUAUAUAUAUAUAAAGAAAUAAUACAUGAUGUAAAAAGAUUGGACGAGUAUAAAAGAUGAUAAAACAUGGAUGAAGCUUGGUGAAAUUUAGCAGUCUUCUAUGGCUCGGAAGAAAAAAAAGAAUUGUAAUUUGUUUCUACCCUGUUCUUAAUAAAACAUAUUUACGUGAUACUAAAAUUUUAAGAAAAUGGCAAUAACUACCGUGCAUUGUUUAAUAUCUUCUUAAGAUGAUCUUUUUAUAUAAUUUUCUCUUUUCAUACAAUAUACACGGUUGAAGAAUCAUUUAAAUUGUUCUAAGAUAAAAAAGAACAUAUCGAGACUUAGAUUCUAAUCGUUUAACAUGUAGAAUGUAUCAUUAAAGAUGUUAUGAUUUAAUGACUUUGAUAUUUUAAAAAAUAAAAAUCUAUUAUUUUUUGGAUUUUAUUUAAUAUUAAAAUAUGAUCUUAUUUAUCAUAAGAAAAUUUCGAUUAUUUGUUUAAAUAAUUAUUUAAGAUAAUUCGUAAAUAUAAUAUAUAUAUAUAAAACAAUUAAUUAAUACCUUAAUCAUCAUUUUAAAAAUAAACAAAAAUGCUUUUAAAUAAAGCUUUUAAUAAAUUAAAAAAAGAGAAAGUGCACCAUCUACGUAUAUUCUUCGAAUAAUUAAGUUAUUUUCAAAUUGAAUGAAGUUCAAGGAUUUAGAAAUUUUUUUAAAUAUUUCUAUAAAUAUUCAAUUUGCAACAUAUUUAGUCAUACAUUCUGUUCUGUCUCUAUAAGAUCCAGUCUUAUAUUUAUAUACAAUUUCUGCGAAGAAAAAGAAUCAAGGCACUAAAAAAACAAUAUCGCGUAUCUUCGAAAUAUGCACAACAAGAAUUUUUUGAACAACGAUCGAAAAUGAUCGAAACGAAAAACGAUCGUGCACUCGUAACCUAUCGCUGUAAUGUAACACGUAUUGUGAAGCAUAUUACUUUGUAAAUAUAAAUAAUUCUCGAGAAUAUAAAGUUCGAAUAAAAGCCGAAAUUAUGUGUUCCAAUUUCGUUAAUAUUCUUACGAUCAAACAAUUUUAAAUUUGAUCGAUGAAUCAAUUUAAUUUAAAAUGGAAUACGCAAGAAAUGGGUCAUUACAAAUUUUUUAAAUCUUAAUAUUAUUUUUCGAAAAGAUUAUUAAUUUUUUAUUAUUAUCAAUAAAAAAUUUUUAUUUUUAUUGUCCUGCAAAAUACUUGUCAAAAUUUAAUCCAUAAUGAAAUGAGUGAUUUUCUUUUUUAUAUAAUUUUUUUUUUUUAAGAAUUUAUAAGAAUUUUACAAUCUUCGAAAAAUUGAUCGUCCAUUCUAUAUAAAUUCUUAAUUAUUCUUAUCGAUGAAAGUGCGCCUUUCAGUUAAUUUAGACUUGAGCUUCUUUAAGUCAAGUUAAAGGUCCAAUUUAUAUUUUAAUCUCGAUUAUGAUGACGCAUAACGCGUCAUCAUCGAUGUCUUUCACUAAACUUCUUACAGACUAGCAAGCGUGCACAUCGCGAUAUUUAUCACACCUACGUGCCAUUCUAUCUCUUAUCCUUAAUCGAUCACUUUUUGCACGUCUUCUUUCGUCUCUUUUUGUGCAAUGUGCACUAGGAACAGAUGGACAGUUUCCACCAGUUAAAUCAAUCGAUUUUCUAAUUGAAGCGUUAUUUUUAUCAAUAAAAUGUUAUCAAAUUUUAAUUUUAAUUGACAAAAUUGUUCUAAAUUUCGAUUCCAAUCAUUCAAAUUUUUAUAAACUUCAACUCAAAUUAUUACAAUUUUUGAAAAGAAUUAAUUAUUACAAGAAAAUUUAUCAUUAAUUAAAUUAAUCAUUAUUAGAUAUUAGACGUAAUAAAUAUUUAUUUUCGAUGAUAUAAAUCGAUGAAUAACCUUGGAAACUUCUUAUCUUACAAAUCACUUUCUUGUCGCGGUAAAAUUGAACGAACGCACGUUAAAGCCACAUGUAUAUAUAUAUAUAUAUAUAUGUGUGUGUCUGUAUGUGUAUAUAUAUAUAUAUAUAAAAAAUAUUAAUAAAAAAAAAUAAAACGCGAACGGUCCUUGUUCGUAGGUAAAACGACGCUUAAGUAUAAUUUAUAUAUCUAUUAACUUAAUGCGUACAUACGCUACUAAAAACAAGAAGAAAAAAAUGAAAAAAAAACCGUCCUGCAGUUGUGUGAAGUCGAUGGAAAAAACUUCGUCGUGCGUACGGCCUACGCAACUUAAAUAAAUAAUAAAAGACAGAGAAAUGGGGAAGAAAGAAAGGGCGCUUCCAUCCACGUCCUUGAUGAUAACACUCGUCUCAGUUAUUAGCACGGAUCACGCGCAUCGUGAAAUCCACCAUCCCGUGGAUCCGGGUACUCCGAGCCACGUUGUGCUAUUGACUUUUGCUCGGUUAAUCGCUCGAACGUAUGGCGGUAAAAGUCAUUAAUGUCGCACGCAAAUUCCAACGAAUUUUCUUAUGAAAUCUUAUUUCUUUUUAAAUUUUUGAAAAAAUGUUUGAGAAUUUAACAAUAUAAAGUUUGCGCGUGCAAAUUAAAAAUUUAGAAGUUGAAAAAUUUAAGAAUUUAAAUUGCAUAGAAUUUUUUGAGACUUGAAAAUUUGCCAUUUCUUAAAAAUUAUUUUUCGAAUUUGAGAGUAGCAUAGAAUUUUCAAAUUUAAUUAAUUAAAAGUGGAUGAUCGUAAUAAGGACGAGUAUGUUAUCAUUUCUGAUAAAAUUAAAUCUUCGUAAUCGAGGAAAUUAUCUAUUCAAAGAUUAACGUGCCACAUUAAUGAUUCUUACCGUACAUUUGGCGUACGGUGUUGUACGGCGCGACGUCAGUAGCGACGACUCUGACGUAAUUCGGUAAAAAUCGAUUAUGCUUUCUAUAAUACAUAUUAAGCCAUAUCCUAUGUGACAUACAUUUCUUAUUGAUUACAUAAGUUGCAAAGAAGAAUGAAGCAACGAUGACGAAUCUAUAUGAUACUUUCUACAAAAAGAGUUCGUGUAUAUCUGUCUUUCGAAUCAUUUUUUUUUAUUAAAUAUAAUAACUAAAGAUAAGCAAUUAAAAUUAAUCUCUUAUUUCGUUUCAUUUUACCGUUUUAAUAUUCUUUGUGAUAGAAGUUUUAUUCGUGUUUUUUAAUAAACCUUAAUACAUCUCAUGAUUAAUUAUAUUUUCAAAAUACGACUCUCAAAUUAGACUAAAUUUAUAUAUAUAUAUAUUAUACAACAUAAAAAUAUUAAAAUAUUUAAAUCAUAACAACCGAUUCACGAUGAUCCAAUACUGCAAAUAAUAAUAUCUCUAUAUUAAAAAUACACGAACUCCCCUGAACAUAAUGACUUCUUAUCUAUUUACAAUUAAUAGAAACGAUAAGAAUAACAAGAAUAUAAUAAAAAAAAAAAAAAAAACAAAA